AGCGAACGCUGGCGGCAGGCCUAACACAUGCAAGUCGAACGAACUCUUCGGAGUUAGUGGCGGACGGGUGAGUAACACGUGGGAACGUGCCUUUAGGUUCGGAAUAACUCAGGGAAACUUGUGCUAAUACCGAAUGUGCCCUUCGGGGGAAAGAUUUAUCGCGUUUAGAGCGGCCCGCGUCUGAUUAGCUAGUUGGUGAGGUAAAGGCUCACCAAGGCGACGAUCAGUAGCUGGUCUGAGAGGAUGAUCAGCCACAUUGGGACUGAGACACGGCCCAAACUCCUACGGGAGGCAGCAGUGGGGAAUCUUGCGCAAUGGGCGAAAGCCUGACGCAGCCAUGCCGCGUGAAUGAUGAAGGUCUUAGGAUUGUAAAAUUCUUUCACCGGGGACGAUAAUGACGGUACCCGGAGAAGAAGCCCCGGCUAACUUCGUG
rnacentral:rRNA from 1 species